UACGUAGGUGGCAAGCGUUGUCCGGAAUUACUGGGUGUAAAGCGCGUGUAGGCGGGAGGCCAAGUCUGCUGUGAAAUCCCUCGGCUCAACCGAGGAACGUCGAUCGAUACUGCUGUUCUUGAGGAUUGCAGAGGAGAGUGGAAUUCCUGGUGUAGCGGUGAAAUGCGCAGAUAUCGUGAGGAACACCAGAGGCGAAGGCGGCUACCUGGACAAUUGCUGACGCUCAGGCA
rnacentral:rRNA from 1 species